rnacentral:rRNA from 1 species
GACGAACGCUGGCGGCGUGCUUAACACAUGCAAGUCGAACGGAAAGGCCCUGCUUUUGUGGGGUGCUCGAGUGGCGAACGGGUGAGUAACACGUGAGUAACCUGCCCUUGACUUUGGGAUAACUUCAGGAAACUGGGGCUAAUACCGGAUAGGAGCUCCUGCUGCAUGGUGGGGGUUGGAAAGUUUCGGCGGUUGGGGAUGGACUCGCGGCUUAUCAGCUUGUUGGUGGGGUAGUGGCUUACCAAGGCUUUGACGGGUAGCCGGCCUGAGAGGGUGACAGGCCACAUUGGGACUGAGAUACGGCCCAGACUCCUACGGGAGGCAGCAGUGGGGAAUAUUGCACAAUGGGCGGAAGCCUGAUGCAGCAACGCCGCGUGCGGGAUGACGGCCUUCGGGUUGUAAACCGCUUUCGCCUGCGACGAAGCGUGAGUGACGGUAAUGGGUAAAGAAGCACCGGCUAACUACGUG